UACAAUAAGCAAAAUAAGGGCGUAUGGGGGAUGCCUUGGCUCUCAGAGGCGAUGAAGGACGUGAUAAGCUGCGAAAAGCUACGGGGAUUGGCACACACGAAUUGAUCCGUAGAUAUCCGAAUGGGGCAACCCAACAUGUUGAAGACAUGUUACUCCGAUAGGAGAGUGAACCCGCUGAACUGAAACAUCUAAGUAGGCGGAGGAGAAGAAAACAAAAGUGAUUCCGUAAGUAGUGGCGAGCGAACGCGGAUUAGCCCAAACCAAUGUUGUUACGGCAAUAUUGGGGUUGUAGGACCACGACAUUUGUUGCGGAUUGAAUUAGAAUAACCUGGAAAGGUUAACCAAAGAGGGUGAUAGUCCCGUAUAAGUAAGAGAAGAUAACGAUAGUGGUAUCCUGAGUAGCGCGGGGCACGUGAAACCCUGUGUGAAUCUGGCGGGACCAUCCGCUAAGGCUAAAUACUCCUGAGAGACCGAUAGUGAACCAGUACCGUGAGGGAAAGGUGAAAAGAACCGUGAAUAACGGAGUGAAAUAGAUCCUGAAACCAUACGCCUACAAGCGGUCGGAGCAUCCAAGUGGUGUGACGGCGUGCCUUUUGCAUAAUGAGCCUACGAGUUACCGUUGCUGGCGAGGAUAAGUGAUUAAGUCACGGAUCCGUAGCGAAAGCGAGUCUGAAUAGGGCGCUUUAGUCAGUAAUGGUAGACGCGAAACCGUGUGAUCUACCCAUGGGCAGGAUGAAGCUGUGGUAACACACAGUGGAGGUCCGAACCGGUUGACGUUGAAAAGUCUUCGGAUGACUUGUGGGUAGGGGUGAAAGGCCAAUCAAACUCGGAAAUAGCUCGUACUCCCCGAAAUGCAUUUAGGUGCAGCGCUGGGUUAUAGUUAUAUAGAGGUAGAGCUACUGAUUGGAUGCGGGGGCUUCAUCGCCUACCAAUUCCUGACAAACUCCGAAUGCUAUAUAAUGUUUACCAGCAGUGAGGGCUUGGGUGCUAAGGUCCAAGUCCGAGAGGGAAAGAACCCAGACCAUCAGCUAAGGUCCCCAAAUAUACGCUAAGUUGAAAUAACGCGGUUUGUCUGCAUAGACAGCUAGGAUGUUGGCUUGGAAGCAGCCAUUCAUUUAAAGAGUGCGUAACAGCUCACUAGUCGAGCGGACGAGCAUGGAUAAUAAUCGGGCAUAAGUGUAUUACCGAAGCUAUGGAUUUGACUUUUGAGUCAAGUGGUAGGGGAGCAUUCUAAACUGGGUCGAAGGUGUGAUGUGAGUCAUGCUGGACUGUUUAGAAAAGAAAAUGUAGGCAUAAGUAACGAUAAUGCGGGCGAGAAACCCGCACACCGAAAAACUAAGGUUUCCGCAGCUAUGCUAAUCAGCUGCGGGUUAGUCUGGUCCUAAGGCGAACCCGAAAGGGACAGUCGAUGGCUAACGGGUUAAUAUUCCCGUACUACUUAUAAUUGUGAUGGAGUGACGGAGUGAUGAAAGCGCCGCGAACUGACGGAAUAGUUCGUUGAAGUACCUACCUAUAGGACCCGUAGUCAAAUGCGCGGGUUUUGGGGAAAUACGAUAGUACUCGGAGUCUUCGGACAAUGGGAUAGUGCGCCUAAGGGCUUCCAAGAAAAACUUCUAAACUUAGAUUAUAAGUACCAGUACCGUAAACCGACACAGGUAGUUGAGGAGAGAAUCCUAAGGUGCUCGAGAGAUUCAUGGCUAAGGAAUUAGGCAAAAUAGACCCGUAACUUCGGGAGAAGGGUCGCCCUCAGUAAUGAGGGCCGCAGUGAAGAGGUCCAGGCGACUGUUUAUCAAAAACACAGGGCUCUGCAAAAUCGUAAGAUGAAGUAUAGGGCCUGACACCUGCCCGGUGCUGGAAGGUUAAGUGGAGAUGUUAUG
rnacentral:rRNA from 1 species